GACGAACGCUGGCGGCGUGCUUAACACAUGCAAGUCGAACGGAAAGGCCCUGCUUUUGUGGGGUGCUCGAGUGGCGAACGGGUGAGUAACACGUGAGUAACCUGCCCUUGACUUUGGGAUAACUUCAGGAAACUGGGGCUAAUACCGGAUAGGAGCUCCUGCUGCAUGGUGGGGGUUGGAAAGUUUCGGCGGUUGGGGAUGGACUCGCGGCUUAUCAGCUUGUUGGUGGGGUAGUGGCUUACCAAGGCUUUGACGGGUAGCCGGCCUGAGAGGGUGACCGGCCACAUUGGGACUGGGGUGCGGCCCAGACUCCUACGGGAGGCAGCAGUGGGGAAUAUUGCACAAUGGGCGGAAGCCUGAUGCAGCAACGCCGCGUGCGGGAUGACGGCCUUCGGGUUGUAAACCGCUUUCGCCUGUGACGAAGCGUGAGUGACGGUAAUGGGUAAAGAAGCACCGGCUAACUACGUG
rnacentral:rRNA from 1 species